rnacentral:rRNA from 1 species
AGUGAACGCUGGCGGUAGGCCUAACACAUGCGAGUCGAACGGCAGCACAGUAAGAGCUUGCUCUUACGGGUGGCGAGUGGCGGACGAGUGAGGAAUACAUCGGAAUCUACUUUUUCGUGGGGGAUAACGUAGGGAAACUUACGCUAAUACCGCAUACGACCUACGGGUGAAAGCAGGGGAUCUUCGGACCUUGCGCGAUUGAAUGAGCCGAUGUCGGAUUAGCUAGUUGGCGGGGUAAAGGCCCACCAAGGCGACGAUCCGUAGCUGGUCUGAGAGGAUGAUCAGCCACACUGGAGCUGAGACACGGUCCAGACUCCUACGGGAGGCAGCAGUGGGGAAUAUUGGACAAUGGGCGCAAGCCUGAUCCAGCCAUACCGCGUGGGUGAAGAAGGCCUUCGGGUUGUAAAGCCCUUUUGUUGGGAAAGAAAAGCAGCAGGUUAAUACCCCGCUGUUCUGACGGUACCCAAAGAAUAAGCACCGGCUAACUUCGUG